rnacentral:rRNA from 1 species
UACGUAGGGUGCGAGCGUUAAUCGGAAUUACUGGGCGUAAAGCGUGCGCAGGCGGUCCGCAAAGUCUGAUGUGAAAGCCCCGGGCUCAACCUGGGAACUGCAUUGGAAACUAACGGGCUUGAGUGUGGCAGAGGGGGGUGGAAUUCCACGUGUAGCAGUGAAAUGCGUAGAGAUGUGGAGGAACACCGAUGGCGAAGGCAGCCCCCUGGGCUAACACUGACGCUCAUGCACGAAAGCGUGGGGAGCAAACAGG